AAACCAGCACCUCAAGUGGUCAGGAGGAUUAUUGGGCCUAAAGCAUCCGUAGCCUGUUCUAUAAGUUUCCGGUUAAAUCCACUAGCUCAACUAGUGGGCUGCCGAAAAUACUGUAGAUCUAGGGAGUGGGAGAGGUAGACGGUACUCGGUAGGAAGGGGUAAAAUCCUUUGAUCUAAUGAUGACCACCAGUGGCGAAGGCGGUCUACCAGAACACGUUCGACGGUGAGGGAUGAAAGCUGGGGGAGCAAACCGGAUUAGAAACCCGAGUAGUCC
rnacentral:rRNA from 1 species